GCUCAAAAUCAUUGAAAAAACCCAAAUGCUUCAAAUCCCCAAUCACACGUCACCCAGUUGUAUGGGGAGGAGAAGACGACCCUAGCUUCCGUUGGGAAGGCUAACGGCGUCGAGGAAUAGAAGCUUGGGUGAUGAUCGAAAAUGCUAGUUAAGCCGUGUGGGGGUGGGUGGACACUGCAAUGUACGUAGUGUCACGUACCUUCUUACUUCCUUCUUAGAACUCACGAAGCAGAUUCACAAGAACUUCCACUCAGAGUACACAAAACAAUAGAACACUAAAGGUUGAUGAGAUUAUUCACAACGUAGUACAUAGAAUGAAUCACAGUAUUACUGAAUUGAA